rnacentral:rRNA from 1 species
GUCUAUGGCCAUUCCAUUCCAAAUGCAUCUAGAUCCCAUUUGAUCUCAGAAGUUAAGACACGUUGGCCCGGUUCGUAUUUGGAUAGGAGACAUUUCCUAUAAGCUCCAGUUGGACA